CAUUAGAUAUUUAGAUAGUAAUUCAUUUUGCUACAAUAACUGCAUUACUAAUAUGUUGCUUCAUCAAAAUGGAUAUUUUACAAUUAUAGAAAAAUCAGUAAGGCUAGCCAUGGCUAACUCCCCAGCUAGCUUGCACUUGAAAUACUGAAUCUUCCCUGCUUUAGCUGCCUUAAUUGUUGUCUGUCUCUCUACUACAGUUUUAUAUGCUGUUUUCGUGGAAAUUAUACAUUUCUAUAGCAUAAUAAUAUUUUUUAUAAGGGUAAAGCAGAUGCUAAAAUGUAAGAUUCCAGUCUUAAUUAAGACCAAUGUAGUUGCUGAGCUUUGGCUUUGAAUAUUCCAAAAAUUACUAUUGCAUCUCACAACUGUCCUACAUCAGUUUUAUAGAAAUUGCAGCUAUCAAGACACUACAGGGGCAAAAAGAGCUGACUAAACAAUAUUAUUCUGAAGUGUGGCAUGGGUACCUCUUUUUCUGUCAUUCUCUGACCACACUCCUGCAGCCGAGAUAACCUUUCUCACUAAGAUGCAACAGGUGGUGAGGAAGAGGAUCAGCACUGGCCGGGCACAAGCUUAUUGGCCAGGAUAAGAAUGACGUGGUAGCACAGCCCAACCAACCAACCACAUAAAGUUGAGACAAAAAUACAAACACAUCUGGGAAAGACAGCCACACAAAUGCUGAUUGAGUUUACUGGACCAUAAAUCAACCAACAAACAAUUAUGGAGAUCCAUCAUUACCUGUGGCUUCUCUCUAUGUAAGUUGAACCUCAUAUUGAUAAUUGUGUUGUGUUUUCUUUUCUUA